rnacentral:rRNA from 1 species
ACACAUGCAAGUCGAGGGGAAACGACAUCGAAAGCUUGCUUUUGAUGGGUGUCGACCGGCGCACGGGUGAGUAACGCGUAUCCAACCUGCCCACCACAUGGGGAUAACCUUGCGAAAGUAAGACUAAUACCCAAUGAUAUCUCUAGAGGACAUCUGAAAGAGAUUAAAGAUUUAUCGGUGAUGGAUGGGGAUGCGUCUGAUUAGCUUGUUGGCGGGGUAACGGCCCACCAAGGCGACGAUCAGUAGGGGUUCUGAGAGGAAGGUCCCCCACAUUGGAACUGAGACACGGUCCAAACUCCUACGGGAGGCAGCAGUGAGGAGUAUUGGUCAAUGGACGAGAGUCUGAACCAGCCAAGUAGCGUGCAGGAUGACGGCCCUAUGGGUUGUAAACUGCUUUUAUAAGGGAAUAAAGUGAGUCUCGUGAGACUUUUUGCAUGUACCUUAUGAAUAAGGACCGGCUAAUUCCGUGCCAGCAGCCGCGGUAAUACGGAAGGUCCGGGCGUUAUCCGGAUUUAUUGGGUUUAAAGGGAGCGUAGGCCGGAGAUUAAGCGUGUUGUGAAAUGUAGACGCUCAACGUCUGCACUGCAGCGCGAACUGGUUUCCUUGAGUACGCACAAAGUGGGCGGAAUUCGUGGUGUAGCGGUGAAAUGCUUAGAUAUCACGAAGAACUCCGAUUGCGAAGGCAGCUCACUGGAGCGCAACUGACGCUGAAGCUCGAAAGUGCGGGUAUCGAACAGGAUUAGAUACCCUGGUAGUCCGCACGGUAAACGAUGGAUGCCCGCUGUUGGUCUGAAUAGGUCAGCGGCCAAGCGAAAGCAUUAAGCAUCCCACCUGGGGAGUACGCCGGCAACGGUGAAACUCAAAGGAAUUGACGGGG